CAUACCGUACAACUUGCUGCAACCACCAAUACUUAAAGUCGAAGAACCUGUUAUCGAGCUCCAGGAUGAAGACGAUGAAAUACAAGUUGUUGGAUUUACAAUUCAUGCCAACAUAAUGCCACCAAAUCAAUUAAAAAGCGAGUUAAACGCUGAAUCGUCGAAUAAUGAUGAUUUAUCAGAAU